rnacentral:rRNA from 1 species
UACGUAGGGUGCAAGCGUUAAUCGGAAUUACUGGGCGUAAAGCGUGCGCAGGCGGUCCGUUAAGACAGAUGUGAAAUCCCCCGGGCUUAACCUGGGAAUGGCGAUGGAUACUGGCUCGCUAGAGUGCGGUAGAGGAGAGUGGAAUUCCCGGUGUAGCAGUGAAAUGCGUAGAGAUCGGGAGGAACAUCAGUUGCGAAGGCGGCUCUCUGGACCAGCACUGACACUGAGGCACGAAAGCGUGGGAGCAAACAGGA